CUGUAUGUUAGAGUUGUAAUUGGUGUAGCUGUGCCCUGACUGGGAUUUAUUAGUUAUCAGACACACAAACACUUCUCCUCACUCUGUGACCUCCUAAAAAGUGUCCCAGGAAGUUUUAAAGGUGAUUCAUGAUGUAAUUCUUUUACAAAUAAAAAAGAAAAGAAAAAGAGGAAUGAAAGAGCAGGAAGAGGAGGAAGAGGAGGCCGUUAGCUGAAAGCGUGGUUCAGGAAAGGGACAGCGGAGUUCAGACAGCGAGGGGCUUUCAUGCCUGUUUUCUGGACUGGAGCCGGAAUGUGCCGGAGGAAGGGACAGCUCUGAGGGAGAGCUGGAUCCAGAGUGCAUCGUCAGGUCUCUAUUCACAAGAACCGACAUCCAUCCAUCCAUCCAUCUAUCCAUCCAUCCAUCCAUCUAUCCAUCCAUCUAUCCAUCCAUCUAUCCCCAUCCCUAAGGAGAUCACACACCGGUUCAGUAGCUGAACGCAGUCCUGAACGCUGUGGUGGUGUGAGGACGACGAGUCGGUGAAUAAAUGGAGGCAUUAAGGGAGAAAGCGGGUCUGUGAAGCCCAGGCUGCUGCGCUGUGUGGGGGAUCGGGCAGCUCGAGCCUCCUGACACCACACGGAUGGACGCACUGGCUGCUGAGUGAGGAAACGUCACACACAGCUCCGGUGCUAAUGAGAGAAAGUCAGCCAAGCGUUCUGCUCGCCACAGCAGGACAGACAUUGUUUAGUCUCUCUCUCUCUCUCUCUCUCUCUCUCACUCUCACACUCACAGUUUUUUUUUAAUGCUCUACAUGAACAGUAGUUAGACAAAGAAUCUGACGAAAAUCUGCACACGUUAUUUCUUCACUAUCGAAUUUCUCAUAUCCUCCUGUCCUCUGAGAAACAUUUGACCGAUCAGGACAGUUAGAGAGGAGAAGCUCUUCAUUUCCUGCCCUGCUGGUGACCUGCAGCCUCAGUGAUGAAGGUGUAAAUCAGCAUGACCUUCUGUGACCUUUUGUGGUUCCUGCUGAUGCCUGGAUGAGCUGUUGCACAUUUUUAUCUGGUUUUAACAGAAUCUCUCUCUCUCUCUCUCUCCCUCCCUCUCUCUCUCUCUCUCACACACACACACACACACACACCUCUUUGUAUUUUUUUCCCGUAAGCGCUUGAAAAGCUGCAAUAAGCCUAAUUAAAAUUACAUUUAAAAAUAACAUUUAAAAGACUAAAUUAGAAUGACAAAAAUAACACUAUAGACUAAUAAAAUGUAUCUAUGUAAAGCUCAUCUAGAUCGAUAGAUCGAUAGAUAGAUAGAUAGAUAGAUAGAUAGAUAGAUAGAUAGUAUUAUAUUUACAUUUUUUAAGCUCAUUUCGAUGCUGUUUUUAAGUAAAUAAAUCUACUCUUUAUUUCCCAGGAGUCUGCUUAGUCUGUAGUUUAAUUAUUUCACCCAAUCACAAGGAAUUCUGCAAUUACAGAUUGUACAUUCUCUUAAAUGGGACAUAAAUUAAUUACAUCAAAUUUCUUGAACAUGCAACUCAGGAUUCUGAUACAGGACCGUAAUUUGAUCAAUAUCCAUAGAUCCAGCAUCUGAAUUAAAUUACGUCUGCAUGCAGUCCAUAUGCGAUGCUGGACUGUGGAUUCUGGUUGGUCAGAAGGUUUUAAAUUUCCAUAACCGAACCCCUGAAUUAAUACGCCUUUCUUUUAUCAUUACUUUUAUCAUUUCUGGACUUGUAUCAUAGAUGCAUCGGACAAUCGAGAUUUAAAUGCGUGCGGUCGUUGAUGAUGUGGUGAAGUUUUGUAACAGACAUAAAUAAAGCAGCUAUGCUUUUCGCUUUCUCAGCAACAUGCUCCUAUUUUCUGUCUGAUUAAUUGAUGACGGAACGACCGUUUAUAGCCGUUAUGAGGUAAACGAUCACAGGAAGUUGUUUCGCAGAGGUGCAGUAACAUUAAAAGUGUAUCCAUAAGCAGAUAAAAAGUAAAUAAAUAAAUAUCAUGUUUAAAUUCAUUUCUGCUGUGGAUGAGGAAUUCAACACUCCACACCGUGCUUUUAUUGGAAGAUAAUCGAUAAUCGAAUCAGAAUCAUAUCAGUAACUCGGCUUCACUCCGUAGUUGAUCGUUUUCCCAUCACUUUGUUUUGAUCGUUACUUCGCAACGUCCAGUUUUUAAGUCCGUCAUAAUGCGAAACCGAAGCGAAGGCCGAGCAGAGACAACAGAGCUGAAAGAGGACGAGGGGGAAGUGUGGGUACGGAGCCUACAACGUCUCCUUGAGGAUCUUCGUCAGCGCACUUCAUCACAAAUUCCUUUUCAUCUCCGCGUCCUCGGCUUCCAUCAGCUUUCUGCGCUACAAACACGCUCUACGUGAUCAGGAUGCACCUGCCGGCGCUGGGAAUUUUUUUUAUCCACAAUCCUGAGUUUGAAUG